rnacentral:tmRNA from 1 species
CUCCUUCAAAACGGCGGGCCGAUGCGCUAUAUUCCCUGCGCCGGCUUGCCGGCUAUGGCGAUAAACGGUGCGUGGAAUAAGCGUUGUGGACCCGGGGGCAGUACCCGGCGCCUCCACCAGUCCGUCUGGGACUUUUCCCAGGUUUGGGGGCGAAACAGGCUCGACACGCGCGGUAAAGACCCAUCUUUCGCUCGGCAUGGUUCCGCCGUUAUCGGGCCAUAUGACAAGUGCCAAUGACAAUCAUGAGGCGCUCGCUGUCGCUGCAUAAGCGAUAAGCGCGGUUCGGGGGGCACCGGGCAACAGAAGCCCCCCACU